GAUGAACGCUGGCGGCGUGCUUAACACAUGCAAGUCGAACGAUGAACCUCCUUCGGGAGGGGAUUAGUGGCGAACGGGUGAGUAACACGUGGGCAAUCUGCCCUUCACUCUGGGACAAGCCCUGGAAACGGGGUCUAAUACCGGAUACGACCUGCCGAGGCAUCUUGGCGGGUGGAAAGCUCCGGCGGUGAAGGAUGAGCCCGCGGCCUAUCAGCUUGUUGGUGAGGUAAUGGCUCACCAAGGCGACGACGGGUAGCCGGCCUGAGAGGGCGACCGGCCACACUGGGACUGAGACACGGCCCAGACUCCUACGGGAGGCAGCAGUGGGGAAUAUUGCACAAUGGGCGAAAGCCUGAUGCAGCGACGCCGCGUGAGGGAUGACGGCCUUCGGGUUGUAAACCUCUUUCAGCAGGGAAGAAGCGAAAGUGACGGUACCUGCAGAAGAAGCGCCGGCUAACUACGUGCCAGCAGCCGCAGUAAUAC
rnacentral:rRNA from 1 species